CUGGUGGCAGGCCAGGGAAUAUCCAAAAAGUCACUCUUCAUAGCUGCUGGCUUGAGUCUGUGCAUGCUGGUGGCAGGCUAGGGAAUAUCCCAAAAAUCACUCUUCAUAGCUGCUGGCUUGAGUCUGUGCAUGCUGGUGGCAGGCUAGGGAAUAUCCCUAAAGUCACUCUUCAUAGCUGCUGGCUUGAGUCUGUGCAUGCUGGUGGCAGGCUAGGGAAUAUCCCUAAAG